rnacentral:rRNA from 1 species
CUCACCAAAGUGGCUCAUUUUCUGCCUAUCAAAGAGUCAAUCACUGCAGCUCAAUUGGCGGAACUCUAUACCUCUCGCAUUGUCUCUCUGCACGGUAUUCCUCAAGUGAUAUCUUCAGACCGUGGCAGCAUCUUUACCUCCAAGUUUUGGGAUUCUAUUCAGAAGGCUAUGGGCACCAACAUCCGCUUCAGCACAGCUUUCCAUCCUCAAACGAGCGGUCAAGUCGAGCGUGUCAACCAAAUUCUUGAAGAUAUGCUCAGGGCUUGUGUGAUCUCCUUCGGCAUGAAGUGGGAGGAUUGUCUUCCUUAUGCUGAAUUCUCAUACAACAACAGCUUUCAAGCAAGUUCG